UGUUUUUAGUCAGUCUGAGGAAGAUAGGCAACGAACGUAGCCCGUUGAUAGCGCCUUACUAUUUAUUCUAUCAAGAUCGAUACGAUUGAUGUCCAGUUUCAAAUGCUUCCGGAUGAUGCUUAAAUUUAAAACGUAAACCGAAAAGUUACAAAGGGAUUCUGUUCUUGAAAGGGUGUAUUUUUACUAUGGGUUAUGUACUGAGUGCGAAAUAGAAUAAGGAUGUCCAAACGAUGAGAAGCAGUUGCAUCAAACCAACUUCAAAAGAAAUGGUUAACAAGUUCAAAGAAACACACAUGGAGAUAUUACUUGUUUUCGAAUAUAUCUUCUCCGUAAAAGAUUUAUUAUGAGAUCAGAAAUUUUCAGCAAAUGCAAGCAUACGGGCAAAUUUCUUUUGCCGAAUUGAAAGACAUCUACUUCCCCGGACUCAGCAGUUAUCUCGCAACCUCGGAAUCCUCUUCGUUGAAUUAUUCUACAACAAGUAGUUUAAUUAUGAUUUCUACGGUCAAAGGCGACUUUCAUCUUAUUAAAAUUACACAGAUUGAAAAUAAUAUUCUGCAGGCGUUAAAACAUUACCAUAUCUUGAUGCUCUUCGGGAAAAAUGAA